AAGCAGAACGGUCACAGAA
rnacentral:rRNA from 1 species